CGGUGAAGCCCAGCUUGCUGGGUGGAUCAGUGGCGAACGGGUGAGUAACACGUGAGCAAUCUGCCCCUGACUCUGGGAUAAGCGCUGGAAACGGCGUCUAAUACUGGAUACGAGCUUCCACCGCAUGGUGAGUUGUUGGAAAGAUUUUUCGGUCAGGGAUGAGCUCGCGGCCUAUCAGCUUGUUGGUGAGGUAAUGGCUCACCAAGGCGUCGACGGGUAGCCGGCCUGAGAGGGUGACCGGCCACACUGGGACUGAGACACGGCCCAGACUCCUACGGGAGGCAGCAGUGGGGAAUAUUGCACAAUGGGCGCAAGCCUGAUGCAGCAACGCCGCGUGAGGGACGACGGCCUUCGGGUUGUAAACCUCUUUUAGCAGGGAAGAAGCGAAAGUGACGGUACCUGCAGAAAAAGCGCCGGCUAACUACGUGCCAGCAGCCGCGGUAAUACGUAGGGCGCAAGCGUUAUCCGGAAUUAUUGGGCGUAAAGAGCUCGUAGGCGGUUUGUCGCGUCUGCUGUGAAAUCCCGAGGCUCAACCUCGGGUCUGCAGUGGGUACGGGCAGACUAGAGUGCGGUAGGGGAGAUUGGAAUUCCUGGUGUAGCGGUGGAAUGCGCAGAUAUCAGGAGGAACACCGAUGGCGAAGGCAGAUCUCUGGGCCGUAACUGACGCUGAGGAGCGAAAGGGUGGGGAGCAAACAGGCUUAGAUACCCUGGUAGUCCACCCCGUAAACGUUGGGAACUAGUUGUGGGGUCCAUUCCACGGAUUCCGUGACGCAGCUAACGCAUUAAGUUCCCCGCCUGGGGAGUACGGCCGCAAGGCUAAAACUCAAAGGAAUUGACGGGGACCCGCACAAGCGGCGGAGCAUGCGGAUUAAUUCGAUGCAACGCGAAGAACCUUACCAAGGCUUGACAUAUACGAGAACGGGCCAGAAAUGGUCAACUCUUUGGACACUCGUAAACAGGUGGUGCAUGGUUGUCGUCAGCUCGUGUCGUGAGAUGUUGGGUUAAGUCCCGCAACGAGCGCAACCCUCGUUCUAUGUUGCCAGCACGUAAUGGUGGGAACUCAUGGGAUACUGCCGGGGUCAAYUCGGAGGAAGGUGGGGAUGACGUCAAAUCAUCAUGCCCCUUAUGUCUUGGGCUUCAGCAUGCUACAAUGGCCGGUACAAGGGCUGCAAUACCGUAAGGWGGAACGAAUCCCAAAAGCCGGUCCNNNUU
rnacentral:rRNA from 1 species